rnacentral:lncRNA from 1 species
GAAAGGGAAAAGGAUUCAUGUAGGCUUAGAUCAACUUGUGACGGUCACCACGGUUGCAUAUGGACUCGGAUUGGGGCGUUCAAGUACUUCAUGGAAUUCUUAUGAAGUCUACUUUUAUAUGUAUCCAGACUCAAGUCCAUAUAUGUUCUGAGGCAAUUACAAUGAUCGAAUUAUUACCAAGAGGUUUUUAUAUCCAAGGUGCUGUGUUGCCUUAUUUUGCCCCAAUGGGUCAUGUAUCAAGUUGGGUCCAUUAGGGACGCGUCCUAGGGUUGGAGCACAAACCCAACACCCUUGUGGUCAUCCUCCCAUGUUCGUAUACCCCUUAUCUACCACCAGGAACACUCAGGUUUUGCUUAGAUUAAGUUUAGCUCUUGCUACUUGCUUGUAAGCGCGCGUGCUGGAUCAGCCGCUAGUCUUCUUGUCUUCAGAACCCCACCAUAAUUGUGAU